CGCGUAGGCGGCUUGGCAAGUGGACGGUGAAAUCCCUCGGCUUAACCGAGGAACUGCCGUCCAAACUGCUUUGCUUGAGGCCGGGAGAGGCGAGUGGAAUUCCCAGUGUAGCGGUGAAAUGCGUAGAUAUUGGGAGGAACACCAGUGGCGAAGGCGGCUCGCUGGACCGGUUCUGACGCUGACGCGCGAAAGCGUGGGGAGCAAACG
rnacentral:rRNA from 1 species